GGGAGAUAAGGUCUUAUUCUCUUUUGUACCGAAACAUGAAUGAUAAGGGUGGAAACAGCUGUUCCCAACCCUAUUUUUUAAAAAAAAUUUAAAUUUUAAAUUUUAAAUUUUAAAUUUUAAUUUAAUAUUUUAUAUUUUUCAAAUUAAAAAUUAAAAAUUUUAUAUUUUUAAAUUUAAAUUUAAAAUUUAAAUUUUAAAAUUUAAAUUUUAAAAUUUAAAAUUUGGGAGUUUAAUUUUAAAUUUUAAUUUCAAAUUUGAAAUUUAAAAAUUAAAAUUUUAAAUUUAAAAAUUAAAAAUUUAAAUUUAGAAAUUCAAAUUCAAAUAUUAUUUUUCUAUUUAUAAGUACCCACUAUUCUCCUUAUUCCAUCUUAUCUAUCGAAACAUUAUUUUUCUUAUUUUUGGUAACAACUAAAUUUUCAUUCAAAUGUAAAAUUAGUGUAGUUCUUGUUUAUAUCUGAACUUGCAGCGAUCUCUGCGAAAAAUAGUUUUUCCUUAUACCGAACCAAAUAAAUCCUAAGGGCAUGUUUUGUUCACCUAUUUUAAACUAUAGAAUCGGAAUGAGAUUCAUUGAUUACGAUUGUUGUUGUUUGCUUUAUGGGAAGCGGAUUCCGAAUCCCGUUCCACUCUGGAAUAAGAAUGACCAAAUUCAUUUAUGCCCAAUCCAAACUUUGAAUUUCGGAUUGACCCAUUUCAAAGUAAACUAUUAAAAGUAAACUACUAAAAAUCUUUCUUCAUUAAUACCUCCUCCUCUACCUUUGUUCCUUUCUGAUUUCUUAAUUAAAAUUCUCUCUUAAAAAUUCUAAACUUUUAUUCCGAUUUUCAUUCUAAUAAUGAAUCAAAUAUUUUUGAAUGAUUCGUCAUUCUAUUUUCUAUUCCAAAGCAAUCCAAUUUCAUUGCCAUUUCUAUUCCAAUUAUGAACCAAAUAUGUCCUGAAAGCUUAACCUGUUAGAGAAUUAUAAGGACUGAGAUGUUUACAGUGCAACUAAACUCUCCGUUGACGAUGUUUAUGUGUGUAAUUUAAUUACAUAAGCACUCGUCAAGUUUCAGAAGAAAAUGAGCUAAAACAGAGAAGUUACGCGAUUAUUAGUUUUCACUUAAAGUGAAUAGUAACUCCGGUUUUCCGGAGAAGCCACGGAGUAGAGUUGGCUUCCGGCGCGUAUCGGACUCCGUUCAAAGCGAUCCAAUAGCUCGUUUCGAUUGGUUCAGCUAUUCUGGAACCAAUGGCACUGACGGAUUUCCGAUCUGAUGCACGGUUUUCGAGAAAAAGGAGUUUUACCGAAAAGAGGGUUUCCGCUCUUUGCUUUUCUGUGCAUUCUAAAGCUUCUCGUACUCCGUGCUUGUGACCUGGAGUAGGGUGAAGAAUGUUUCGAGUCCCUACUAGUGGUAGGGAAGUCAAUUUCUUAUGCGAAAGUUGGUUUAAUGGGUUUACUCAUUGAUAUUUGUGCGUUAUGUGGAUUAAUUAGAGAGCGGAUGGGUUCCGUUGCGAAUCCGUGACCAUAUCUGACGAAAUAAGAUUGUAGUUUUGAUGCCCCCGAUGUGCUGAACGCAAUGGUGCUGUCGAAUCGAAAAUCCGACGGACGGAUCUCUGGUAAUUGCAAAGUUUUCGUUAAGAGGUCGAAGAUGGCAAUUCGGAAAAUUCGCGAAAGGCGCGACAUUUUAUGUAUCGAAUCGCGUGAGAUCGGACGUGGAGG
rnacentral:lncRNA from 1 species